rnacentral:rRNA from 1 species
UGCGUAGGCGGCCCUGUAAGUCAGAUGUGAAAGCCCACCGCCUAACGGUGGAGGUGCAUUUGAUACUGCAGAGCUUGAAUCAGGUUGAGGUCAGCGGAAUGUGUCAUGUAGCGGUGAAAUGCAUAGAUAUGACAUAGAACACCAAUUGCGAAGGCAGCUGGCUAGACCUGUAUUGACGCUGAGGCACGAAAGCGUGGGGAGCGAACA